rnacentral:rRNA from 1 species
GGGUUGUGAGGUUAAGCGACUAAGCGUACACGGUGGAUGCCCUGGCAGUCAGAGGCGAUGAAGGACGUGCUAAUCUGCGAAAAGCGUCGGUAAGGUGAUAUGAACCGUUAUAACCGGCGAUGUCCGAAUGGGGAAACCCAGUGCAAUUCGUUGCACUAUCGUUAACUGAAUACAUAGGUUAACGAGGCGAACCGGGGGAACUGAAACAUCUAAGUACCCCGAGGAAAAGAAAUCAACCGAGAUUCCCCAGUAGCGGCGAGCGAACGGGGAGCAGCCCAGAGUCUGAAUCAGCUUGUGUGUUAGUGGAACGGUCUGGAAAGUCCGACGGUACAGGGUGAUAGUCCCGUACACCAAAAUGCACAGGUUGUGAACUCGAAGAGUAGGGCGGGACACGUGGUAUCCUGUCUGAAUAUGGGGGGACCAUCCUCCAAGGCUAAAUACUCCUGACUGACCGAUAGUGAACCAGUACCGUGAGGGAAAGGCGAAAAGAACCCCGGCGAGGGGAGUGAAAAAGAACCUGAAACCGUGUACGUACAAGCAGUGGGAGCACCUUCGGGUGUGACUGCGUACCUUUUGUAUAAUGGGUCAGCGACUUAUAUUCUGUAGCAAGGUUAACCGUAUAGGGGAGCCGCAGGGAAACCGAGUCUUAACUGGGCGUUAAGUUGCAGGGUAUAGACCCGAAACCCGGUGAUCUAGCCAUGGGCAGGUUGAAGGUUGGGUAACACUAACUGGAGGACCGAACCGACUAAUGUUGAAAAAUUAGCGGAUGACUUGUGGCUGGGGGUGAAAGGCCAAUCAAACCGGGAGAUAGCUGGUUCUCCCCGAAAGCUAUUUAGGUAGCGCCUCGUGAACUCAUCUUCGGGGGUAGAGCACUGUUUCGGCUAGGGGGUCAUCCCGACUUACCAACCCGAUGCAAACUACGAAUACCGAAGAAUGUUAUCACGGGAGACACACGGCGGGUGCUAACGUCCGUCGUGAAGAGGGAAACAACCCAGACCGCCAGCUAAGGUCCCAAAGUCAUGGUUAAGUGGGAAACGAUGUGGGAAGGCACAGACAGCCAGGAUGUUGGCUUAGAAGCAGCCAUCAUUUAAAGAAAGCGUAAUAGCUCACUGGUCGAGUCGGCCUGCGCGGAAGAUGUAACGGGGCUAAACCAUGCACCGAAGCUGCGGCAGCGACACUAUGUGUUGUUGGGUAGGGGAGCGUUCUGUAAGCCUGCGAAGGUGACCUGUGAGGGUUGCUGGAGGUAUCAGAAGUGCGAAUGCUGACAUAAGUAACGAUAAAGCGGGUGAAAAGCCCGCUCGCCGGAAGACCAAGGGUUCCUGUCCAACGUUAAUCGGGGCAGGGUGAGUCGACCCCUAAGGCGAGGCCGAAAGGCGUAGUCGAUGGGAAACAGGUUAAUAUUCCUGUACUUGGUGUUACUGCGAAGGGGGACGGAGAAGGCUAUGUUAGCCGGGCGACGGUUGUCCCGGUUUAAGCAUGUAGGCUGAUUGUCCAGGCAAAUCCGGAUAAUCAAGGCUGAGGUGUGAUGACGAGGCACUACGGUGCUGAAGUAACAAAUGCCCUGCUUCCAGGAAAAGCCUCUAAGCAUCAGGUAACAUUAAAUCGUACCCCAAACCGACACAGGUGGUCAGGUAGAGAAUACCAAGGCGCUUGAGAGAACUCGGGUGAAGGAACUAGGCAAAAUGGUGCCGUAACUUCGGGAGAAGGCACGCUGGUGUGUAGGUGAAGUCCCUGCGGAUGGAGCUGAGACCAGUCGAAGAUACCAGCUGGCUGCAACUGUUUAUUAAAAACACAGCACUGUGCAAACACGAAAGUGGACGUAUACGGUGUGACGCCUGCCCGGUGCCGGAAGGUUAAUUGAUGGGGUUAUCCGUAAGGAGAAGCUCUUGAUCGAAGCCCCGGUAAACGGCGGCCGUAACUAUAACGGUCCUAAGGUAGCGAAAUUCCUUGUCGGGUAAGUUCCGACCUGCACGAAUGGCGUAAUGAUGGCCAGGCUGUCUCCACCCGAGACUCAGUGAAAUUGAACUCGCUGUGAAGAUGCAGUGUACCCGCGGCAAGACGGAAAGACCCCGUGAACCUUUACUAUAGCUUGACACUGAACAUUGAGCCUUGAUGUGUAGGAUAGGUGGGAGGCUUUGAAGCGUGGACGCCAGUCUGCGUGGAGCCAACCUUGAAAUACCACCCUUUAAUGUUUGAUGUUCUAACGUUGGCCCCUUACCGGGGUUGCGGACAGUGUCUGGUGGGUAGUUUGACUGGGGCGGUCUCCUCCCAAAGCGUAACGGAGGAGCACGAAGGUUAGCUAAUCCUGGUCGGACAUCAGGAGGUUAGUGCAAUGGCAUAAGCUAGCUUGACUGCGAGCGUGACGGCGCGAGCAGGUGCGAAAGCAGGUCAUAGUGAUCCGGUGGUUCUGAAUGGAAGGGCCAUCGCUCAACGGAUAAAAGGUACUCCGGGGAUAACAGGCUGAUACCGCCCAAGAGUUCAUAUCGACGGCGGUGUUUGGCACCUCGAUGUCGGCUCAUCACAUCCUGGGGCUGAAGUAGGUCCCAAGGGUAUGGCUGUUCGCCAUUUAAAGUGGUACGCGAGCUGGGUUUAGAACGUCGUGAGACAGUUCGGUCCCUAUCUGCCGUGGGCGCUGGAGAAUUGAGGGGGCUGCUCCUAGUACGAGAGGACCGGAGUGGACGCAUCACUGGUGUUCGGGUUGUCAUGCCAAUGGCACUGCCCGGUAGCUAAAUGCGGAAGAGAUAAGUGCUGAAAGCAUCUAAGCACGAAACUUGCCCCGAGAUGAGUUCUCCCUGAGACUUUAAGUCUCCUGAAGGAACGUUAAAGACGAUGACGUUGAUAGGCCGGGUGUGUAAGCGCAGCGAUGCGUUGAGCUAACCGGUACUAAUGAACCGUGAGGCUUAACCUUACAACGCCGAAG